UACGUAGGGGGCAAGCGUUGUCCGGAAUCAUUGGGCGUAAAGAGCGUGUAGGCGGCCAGCUAAGUCCGCUGUGAAAUCCCUCGGCUUAACCGGGGAACUGCGUCCGAUACUGGAUGGCUUGAGUUCGGGAGAGGGAUGCGGAAUUCCAGGUGUAGCGGUGAAAUGCGUAGAUAUCGAGAGGAACACCUGCGGCGAAGGCGGGUUGCUGGGCUGACACUGACGCUGAGGCGCGAAAGCUAGGGGAGCGAACGGG
rnacentral:rRNA from 1 species